CUGCUCAGUAACACGUGGAUAACCUGCCCUAAGGAAGGGGAUAACCCCGGGAAACUGGGGAUAAUACCCUAUAGGUUACAGGUGCUGGAAUGCUCUGUAACCCAAAGUUCCGACGCCUUAGGAUGGAUCUGCGGCCGAUUAGGUUGUUGUUGGGGUAACGGCCCAACAAGCCAGUAAUCGGUACGGGUUGUGGGAGCAAGAGCCCGGAGUUGGAUUCUGAGACACGAAUCCAGGCCCUACGGGGCGCAGCAGGCGCGAAAACUUUACAAUGCGGGCAACCGUGAUAAGGGAACCUCGAGUGCCUGUAUAUGCAGGCUGUCCAGGUGUCUAAAAAACACCUGAAGAAAGGGCCGGGCAAGACCGGUGCCAGCCGCCGCGGUAAUACCGGCGGCUCGAGUGGUGGCCACUUUUAUUGGGCUUAAAGCGUUCGUAGCUGGGUUGUUAAGUCUCUUGGGAAAUCUGACGGCUUAACCGUCAGGCGUCUAAGAGAUACUGGCAAUCUUGGAACCGGGAGAGGUGAGGGGUACUUCGGGGGUAGGAGUGAAAUCCUGUAAUCCUCGAGGGACCACCUGUGGCGAAGGCGCCUCACCAGAACGGCUUCGACAGUGAGGGACGAAAGCUGGGGGAGCAAACCGGAUUAGAUACCCGGGUAGUCCCAGCCGUAAACGAUGCGCGUUAGGUGUAUCGGUGACCACGAGUCACCGAGGUGCCGAAGGGAAACCGUGAAACGUGCCGCCUGGGAAGUACGGUCGCAAGGCUGAAACUUAAAGGAAUUGGCGGGGGAGCACCACAACAGGUGGAGCCUGCGGUUUAAUUGGACUCAACGCCGGAAAUCUCACCGGAUAAGACAGCGGAAUGAUUGCCGGGCUGAAGACUCUGCAUGACUAGCUGAGAGGAGGUGCAUGGGCC
rnacentral:rRNA from 1 species